rnacentral:lncRNA from 1 species
CUGCGGGCCGCCCAGUGGCGGGCGCAGAAGAAACGCCCCCUGCUGGGUGCACCCUCUGCACGCGGAGACUGCUCCUGGUGGGAAGCUUGCGCUCAGCUCUGCUACACUUGGUAGAACUAAGGUGGCUCCUGCAGCUGCGAAGGCUGUAAGUGUGCCUCCAGCCAAAGACAAAGGUCUUCAGGGGUUAAAGGAUAGCCAAUGUCCCCAGAGUUGCACACCCAGAGCCAGCUGUGGCUUCCCUCUCAAGCUCAGCCUCCACCCCCAGAUCUUCUUUGGCUGGAGCGGGACAAUUAAAUUUGAU